rnacentral:rRNA from 1 species
GACGAACGCUGGCGGCGUGCUUAACACAUGCAAGUCGAACGAAGAGCGAUGGAAGCUUGCUUCUAUCAAUCUUAGUGGCGAACGGGUGAGUAACGCGUAAUCAACCUGCCCUUCAGAGGGGGACAACAGUUGGAAACGACUGCUAAUACCGCAUACGAUCUAAUCUCGGCAUCGAGGAUAGAUGAAAGGUGGCCUCUACACGUAAGCUAUCACUGAAGGAGGGGAUUGCGUCUGAUUAGCUAGUUGGAGGGGUAACGGCCCACCAAGGCGAUGAUCAGUAGCCGGUCUGAGAGGAUGAACGGCCACAUUGGGACUGAGACACGGCCCAGACCCCUACGGGAGGCAGCAGUGGGGAAUCUUCCGCAAUGGACGAAAGUCUGACGAAGCAACGCCGCGUGAGUGAUGACGGCCUUCGGGUUGUAAAGCUCUGUUAAUCGGGACGAAAGGCCUUCUUGCGAAUAGUGAGAAGGAUUGACGGUACCGGAAUAGAAAGCCACGGCUAACUACGUG